AGUAAUGGAGGGAAAGGGCAGUUAGUAAUGGGGGAGUAAGUAAUAGAGGGGACUUUCCCUUGCAUGAAAGCAGCGGUGUUCGAUAUAUUUAAAGGGACACUAUAGUCCCCCAGACCACUUCAGCUCAAUAAAGUUGUCUGGGUGCCAGGUCCCCCAGGUUUUAACCCUUCACCUGUUGUAACGGAUCACCUGGCACCCCAACUGGGUACCUCCGUUGAAGGAUGCUCCUAGCGCUUCCUGAGGAAUCCAAGCACUGCAGCAGACACCAUAACCACCGCCGUCUCCUUCAGAGAGCAAAAGAGGAACAAGCUCUUACAAGAGCUUAGCAGUGAAUAUAGCAAGAGAGUAUGCAGAGCAUAGCAAUCCCUUCUAGCAGAUUCCCCCCAAUAAGAG